rnacentral:rRNA from 1 species
GACGUAGGGGGCGAGCGUCGUCCGGAUUUAUUGGGCGUAAAGCGCGCGUAGGCGGCCGCUCAAGUCGGAUGUGAAAACCCGAGGCUCAACCUCGGGCCUGCAUCCGAUACUGGGCGGCUCGAGGCAGGCAGGGGAGAGUGGAAUUCCUGGUGUAGCGGUGAAAUGCGCAGAUAUCAGGAGGAACACCGGUGGCGAAGGCGGCUCUCUGGGCCUGUCCUGACGCUCAGGCGCGAAAGCUAGGGGAGCAAACAGG